rnacentral:rRNA from 1 species
GACGAACGCUGGCGGCGUGCUUAACACAUGCAAGUCGAACGGAAAGGCCCUGCUCUUGUGGGGUUCUCGAGUGGCGAACGGGUGAGUAACACGUGAGUAACCUGCCCUUGACUUUGGGAUAACUUCAGGAAACUGGGGCUAAUACCGGAUAGGAGCUCCUGCUGCAUGGUGGGGGUUGGAAAGUUUCGGCGGUUGGGGAUGGACUCGCGGUUUAUCAGCUUGUUGGUGGGGUAGUUGCUUACCAAGGCUUUGACGGGUAGCCGGCCUGAGAGGGUGAACGGCCACCUUGGGACUGAGAUACGGCGCAGAAGCGUACGGGAGGCAGCAGUGGGGAAUAUUGCACAAUGGGCGGAAGCCUGAUGCAGCAACGCCGCGUGCGGGAUGACGGCCUUCGGGUUGUAAACCGCUUUCGCCUGUGACGAAGCGUGAGUGACGGUAAUGGGUAAAGAAGCACCGGCUAACUACGUG